rnacentral:rRNA from 1 species
AUUGAACGCUGGCGGCAUGCCUUACACAUGCAAGUCGAACGGCAGCACGGGAGCAAUCCUGGUGGCGAGUGGCGAACGGGUGAGUAAAGUAUCGGAACGUGCCCAGUCGUGGGGGAUAACGUAGCGAAAGUUACGCUAAUACUGCAUACGAUCUAUGGAUGAAAGCGGGGGAUCGCAAGACCUCGCACGAUUGGAGCGGCCGAUAGCAGAUUAGGUAGUUGGUGGGGUAAAGGCUCACCAAGCCGACGAUCUGUAGCUGGUCUGAGAGGACGACCAGCCACACUGGGACUGAGACACGGCCCAGACUCCUACGGGAGGCAGCAGUGGGGAAUUUUGGACAAUGGGCGAAAGCCUGAUCCAGCCAUGCCGCGUGCAGGAUGAAGGCCUUCGGGUUGUAAACUGCUUUUGUACGGAACGAAAAGGUUUGGCCUAAUAAGCUGAGCUCAUGACGGUACCGUAAGAAUAAGCACCGGCUAACUACGUGCCAGCAGCCGCAGUAA